rnacentral:rRNA from 1 species
UACAGAGGGGGCAAACGUUGUUCGGAAUUACUGGGCGUAAAGGGCGCGUAGGCGGCCUGUUAAGUCGAACGUGAAAUCCCCGGGCUCAACCCGGGAACUGCGUCCGAUACUGGCAGGCUUGAAUUCGGGAGAGGGAUGCGGAAUUCCAGGUGUAGCGGUGAAAUGCGUAGAUAUCUGGAGGAACACCGGUGGCGAAAGGCGCCUGCAUCUGGCCC